rnacentral:rRNA from 1 species
UACGUAGGGUGCGAGCGUUAAUCGGAAUUACUGGGCGUAAAGCGUGCGUAGGCGGUUCGCUGUGUCCGAUGUGAAAGCCCCGGGCUUAACCUGGGAAUGGCAUUGGAAACUGGCGGGCUUGAGUGCGGCAGAGGGGGGUGGAAUUCCGCGUGUAGCAGUGAAAUGCGUAGAGAUGCGGAGGAACACCAAUGGCGAAGGCAGCUCGCUGGGACGGUACUGACGCUGAGGCGCGAAAGCGUGGGGAGCAAACAGG